CUAAGGGAAAAGUUAUCAUCUUCAGUUUUGAGAGACUUAAAAAAAGUUUUUCAUUUUUUAAGAUUAGGGCCUAUAGCUCAGUUGGUUAGAGCACACGCCUGAUAAGCGUGAGGUCGGUGGUUCAAGUCCAUUUAGGCCCACCAAAAUAAGUCAUAUCUUAAAAAAGCUCUUUGAAAAGUAGAUAAACUAAGGUUAAAAAAAUU
rnacentral:misc_RNA from 1 species